UACGAAGGGGGCUAGCGUUGCUCGGAAUCACUGGGCGUAAAGCGCACGUAGGCGGCUUUUAAGUCAGGGGUGAAAUCCUGGAGCUCAACUCCAGAACUGCCUUUGAUACUGAGAAGCUUGAGUCCGGGAGAGGUGAGUGGAACUGCGAGUGUAGAGGUGAAAUUCGUAGAUAUUCGCAAGAACACCAGUGGCGAAGGCGGCUCACUGGCCCGGUACUGACGCUGAGGUGCGAAAGCGUGGGGAGCAA
rnacentral:rRNA from 1 species